rnacentral:rRNA from 1 species
GACGAACGCUGGCGGCGUGCUUAACACAUGCAAGUCGAACGGAAAGGCCCUGCUUUUGUGGGGUGCCCGAGUGGCGAACGGGUGAGUAACACGUGAGUAACCUGCCCUUGACUUUGGGAUAACUUCAGGAAACGGGGGCUAAUACCGUAUAGGAGCUCCUGCUGCAUGGUGGGGGUUGGAAAGUUUCGGCGGUUGGGGAUGGACUCGCGGCUUAUCGGCUUGUUGGUGGGGUAGUGGCUGACCAAGGCUUUGACGGGUAGGCGGCCUGAGAGGGUGACCGGCCACAUUGGGUCUGAGAUACGGCCCAGGCUCCUACGGGAGGCAGCAGUGGGGAAUAUUGCACAAUGGACGGAGGCCUGAUGAAGAAACGCCGCGUGCGGGAUGACGGCCUUCGGGUUGUAAACCGCUUUCGCCUGUGACGAAGCGUGAGUGACGGUAAUGGGUAAAGAAGCACCGGCUAACUACGUG